AUUGAACGCUGGCGGCAGGCCUAACACAUGCAAGUCGAACGGUAGCACAGAGAGCUUGCUCUCGGGUGACGAGUGGCGGACGGGUGAGUAAUGUCUGAGAAACUGCCUGAUGGAGGGGGGUAACUACUGGAAACGGUAGCUAAUACCGCAUAACGUCGCAAGACCAAAGAGGGGGACCUUCGGGCCUCUUGCCAUCGGAUGGGCCCAGAUGGGAUUAGCUUGUUGGUGAGGUAAAGGCUCACCAAGGCGACGAUCCCUAGCUGGUCUGAGAGGAUGACCAGCCACACUGGAACUGAGACACGGUCCAGACUCCUACGGGAGGCAGCAGUGGGGAAUAUUGCACAAUGGGCGCAAGCCUGAUGCAGCCAUGCCGCGUGUGUGAAGAAGGCCUUCGGGUUGUAAAGCACUUUCAGCGGGGAGGAAGGCGGUGAGUUUAAUAAGCUCACCGAUUGACGUUACCCGCAGAAGAAGCACCGGCUAACUCCGUGCCAGCAGCCGCGGUAA
rnacentral:rRNA from 1 species